rnacentral:rRNA from 1 species
GUGUAUGGCCAUACCACCCUGAACACACCCGAUCUCAUCUGAUCUUGCAAGCUAAGCAGGGUCGGAUCUGGUUAGUACUUGGAUGGGAGACAAUGUAAUUAUUAAAA